GCAGGUGGUAGGCGGUGACGCCGAGCGAGUAGAGGUCGCUCCGCACGUCGACCGGGCGGCCCUCGAUCUGCUCGGGGCUCAUGUAC
rnacentral:tRNA from 1 species